GAUGAACGCUGGCGGCGUGCCUAAUACAUGCAAGUCGAGCGAACAGACGAGGAGCUUGCUCCUCUGACGUUAGCGGCGGACGGGUGAGUAACACGUGGAUAACCUACCUAUAAGACUGGGAUAACUUCGGGAAACCGGAGCUAAUACCGGAUAAUAUAUUGAACCGCAUGGUUCAAUAGUGAAAGACGGUUUUGCUGUCACUUAUAGAUGGAUCCGCGCCGCAUUAGCUAGUUGGUAAGGUAACGGCUUACCAAGGCAACGAUGCGUAGCCGACCUGAGAGGGUGAUAGGCCACACUGGAACGGAGACACGGUCCAGACUCCUACGGGAGGCAGCAGUAGGGAAUCUUACGCAAUGGGCGAAAGCUUGACGGAGCAACGCCGCGUGAGUGAUGAAGGUCUUCGGAGCGUAAAAAUCUGUUAUUAGGGAAGAACAAAUGUGUAAGUAACUAUGCACGUCUUGACGGUACCUAAUCAGAAAGCCACGGCUAACUACGUG
rnacentral:rRNA from 1 species